CCUACGGGUGGCUGCAGUGGGGAAUAUUGGGCAAUGGAGGCAACUCUGACCCAGCAACGCCGCGUGAGUGAUGAAGGUCUUCGGAUUGUAAAACUCUUUAAGUAGGGACGAAGAAAGUGACGGUACCUACAGAAUAAGCCUCGGCUAACUACGUGCCAGCAGCCGCGGUAAUACGUAGGAGGCAAGCGUUAUCCAGAAUGACUGGGCGUAAAGGGUGCGUAGGUGGUUUGGCAAGUUGGUAGCGUAAUCCCGGGGCUUAACUUCGGUGCUACUACCAAAACUGCUGGGCUUGAGUGCAGGAGGGGUGAAUGGAAUUCCUAGUGUAGCGGUGGAAUGCGUAGAUAUUAGGGAGAACACCAGCGGCGAAGGCGAUUCACUGGACUGUAACUGACACUGAGGCACGAAAGCGUGGGGAGCAAACAGGAUUAGAUACCCCAGUAGUC
rnacentral:rRNA from 1 species